rnacentral:rRNA from 1 species
CGUAGGUGGCAAGCGUUGUCCGGAAUUAUUGGGCGUAAAGCGCGCGCAGGUGGGAUAAUAAGUCUGAUGUUAAAGUUCGGGGCUCAACCCCGUGAAGCAUUUGGAUACUGUUAUUCUUGAGUGCAGGAGAGGAAAGUGGAAUUCCUAGUGUAGCGGUGAAAUGCGUAGAUAUUAGGAGGAACACCAGUGGCGAAGGCGACUUUCUGGACUGUGUCUGACACUGAGGCGCGAAAGCCAGGGUAGUGAACGGGAUUAGAUACCCCGGUAAUCCUGGCCGUAAACGAUGGGUACUAGGUGUUGGGGGUAUCGACCCCUCCAGUGCCGGAGUUAACGCAAUAAGUACCACGCCUGGGGAGUACGGCCGCAAGGUUG